rnacentral:rRNA from 1 species
AUGAAUCCUGACCAGAUUCAGAAUUCAAGUGUGGAUCUUGUGUUGGCUCAUAUGCUGCUCAAGAUUGGGCAGUGUGAUUGGAUAGCGAGUUAUGUGGGAGUGGUUGGUAACAAUAACAUACAUGCGUUGGUCCCGGUCCCCCCUCACCCUCAGGAUAUGUGGGAGGGAGGGAGAGGCCUGCAACGCAAGCAAACUGUUCACUCCCAUUCCAAGGAUUUUGACAAGUCAGGGCCUCAAGAUCCAAGAGCUGCAUGCAUGAUUAGUUCAACACACAUGGUGUCAGCCCUAUCACUGUCCAUCUAA